UACAGGGGGGGCAAGCGUUGUUCGGAAUUACUGGGCGUAAAGGGCUCGUAGGCGGCCAACUAAGUCACACGUGAAAUCCCCAGGCUUAACCUGGGAACUGCGUGUGAUACUGGAUGGCUUGAAUUCGGGAGAGGGAUGCAGAAUUCCAGGUGUAGCGGUGAAAUGCGUAGAUAUCUGGAGGAACACCGGUGGCGAAGGCGGCAUCCUGGACCAAUAUUGACGCUGAGGAGCGAAAGCCAGGGGAGCGAACAGG
rnacentral:rRNA from 1 species